UUGAACGCUGGCGGCAUGCUUUACACAUGCAAGUCGAACGGCAGCGCGGGCUUCGGCCUGGCGGCGAGUGGCGAACGGGUGAGUAAUGCAUCGGAACGUGCCCAGUAGUGGGGGAUAGCCCGGCGAAAGCCGGAUUAAUACCGCAUACGACCUGAGGGUGAAAGCGGGGGACCGAAAGGCCUCGCGCUAUUGGAGCGGCCGAUGUCGGAUUAGCUAGUUGGUGGGGUAAAGGCUUACCAAGGCGACGAUCCGUAGCUGGUCUGAGAGGACGACCAGCCACACUGGGACUGAGACACGGCCCAGACUCCUACGGGAGGCAGCAGUGGGGAAUUUUGGACAAUGGGGGCAACCCUGAUCCAGCCAUGCCGCGUGCGGGAAGAAGGCCUUCGGGUUGAAAACCGCUUUUGUUCGGGAAGAAAUCCUCUGGGCUAAUACCCCGGGGGGAUGACGGUACCGGAAGAAUAAGCACCGGCUAACUACGUG
rnacentral:rRNA from 1 species